rnacentral:rRNA from 1 species
GAUGAACGCUGGCGGCGUGCUUAACACAUGCAAGUCGAACGGUGAAAGAGAGCUUGCUCUCUGGAUCAGUGGCGAACGGGUGAGUAACACGUGAGCAAUCUGCCCCUGACUCUGGGAUAAGCGCUGGAAACGGCGUCUAAUACCGGAUACGAGCUGCGAAGGCAUCUUCAGCAGCUGGAAAGAACUUCGGUCAGGGAUGAGCUCGCGGCCUAUCAGCUAGUUGGUGAGGUAACGGCUCACCAAGGCGUCGACGGGUAGCCGGCCUGAGAGGGUGACCGGCCACACUGGGACUGAGACACGGCCCAGACUCCUACGGGAGGCAGCAGUGGGGAAUAUUGCACAAUGGGCGCAAGCCUGAUGCAGCAACGCCGCGUGAGGGACGACGGCCUUCGGGUUGUAAACCUCUUUUAGCAGGGAAGAAGCGAAAGUGACGGUACCUGCAGAAAAAGCACCGGCUAACUACGUGCCAGCAGCCGCCGUAAGAC